AACGAACGCUGGCGGCAUGCCUAACACAUGCAAGUCGAACGAGUACCUUCGGGUGCUAGUGGCGCACGGGUGAGUAACGCGUGGGAACCUGCCUUUCGGUACGGGAUAACGUUUGGAGACGAACGCUAAUACCGUAUAUGUCUUUGGAUGAAAGAUUUAUCGCCGGAAGAGGGGCCCGCGUCUGAUUAGGUAGUUGGUGAGGUAAUGGCACACCAAGCCUUCGAUCAGUAGCUGGUCUGAGAGGAUGAUCAGCCACACUGGGACUGAGACACGGCCCAGACUCCUACGGGAGGCAGCAGUGGGGAAUAUUGGACAAUGGGCGCAGGCCUGAUCCAGCAAUGCCGCGUGAGUGAUGAAGGCCUUCGGGUUGUAAAGCUCUUUUACCUGCGACGAUGAUGACGGUAGCAGGAGAAUAAGCCCCGGCUAACUUCGUGCCAGCAGCCGCCGUAAUAC
rnacentral:rRNA from 1 species